rnacentral:lncRNA from 1 species
UGGAGGAAGAUGGUCGUGGUGUGAGCAUUGCCCGCUUGAUUCAGUUGGGAUGUUUUGUCAUACCGCAUUACUUCCGCCUUGUAACGUAACAUAUUCUUGUAAUUGACAUACAAAGUGCACCGUGACUUAUAAAAUAUGUUUUAUAAUGAGUGAUUGUCCCCAGUCUGUUUGAAAGUAGCGACAAACAAUGGAUAAAUGCUGAGAGUAGUGUUUGUUUACAUCGUGAAUCUGUGUAGGUUGUGUUUACAAGGAACAGCUGAUCGGCUGGUGGCUCUAUCGUGUUUGACAGCCUUGUAGAUAAGUGAUAUACCCGUGGCCUGGAUGAUCACUAUAUUACUCAGAACAAACAUGUGCUUACGUCGAGCUAUUUAACGGUGAUAAUACUCCACAACAAGAACAGACGACGUAGAUGAAGCCAUAAUGGGCAAGUGUAGUACAAGACGCGUGGAAACUGACGUCCCUAGUGAAGUGCAUACGACAAGUGUCACCCCUUCCCCAAGUGUAACCUCUCCUUCCUCACUCUCUUGACCUCCCUGUCAGCGCCUCUUCAAGUACUACCUUGUAACACUUGUCUGGGUGUAUGUAUGUACCGUACGCUGUCUACUUCAACACUUGAGUCCACCUACUUUAGCUACACCUCCUUCUAUUCCUGUCAACUCUCUAUUCAACCAAGAUGGAGAGUGAUAAAGUCGUAGAUAUCUCCCCCACUUCUUGUACGCCCCAGGGUCCUCCAACACUCUCUUCCUCUCCCUCCUCUCCCUCCUCUCUCCCCCACCACACUCCUCUCACCCCCACCACACUCCUCUCACCACGAAUGACAAAUGCCUCACUCCUGCCUCUAAUAUUAUAAUGACUAUCACCACCAUCACAAGCAACAGAGAGGAAGAGGGGGAAGAAGACUCGACUCCUCUUUGCCUUCACAAUACUCCCAGUUUACCCAAGGCCGCCGACUCGGUCAACACGGUGCGACAUAAAAAGGCUGUGGACUGGUCUUUGAACAGUAUAGGUGACUUGUACAGGUCAAGCUUACCCCUCCUGACCUGACCUUCACUCACAGACUCGUCUCAGGAAAACUGUUUGAACUAUUUUCACUUUUCUAGUAAUGUUUUAAUCUCAUUUUGUUUUAUAUACCGUAUGUAUUAUGGUGUGAGUUAUGUCUGCAUUGCCUUGGGGUACUGUACUGCCAUCCCACUUGCACGAUCGUCUGUUUUAUGUGACUUUUACCAUCUUAGUUAAAUGAUCAGCUUAGGUUAAGUUAGGUUACGUUGGGUUGGGUUAUGUUAUGUUAUGUUAUGUAUCUAUCAUCUUUAUUGUGGGAAUAUAGAAAUGCCUGUCUUCCAUCAGUUCAUGUGGCCAUUUUAGUGCUGCUCCGUGGAUUCUCCCUCAAGUUCAAGAUUAUCAGUAUUUUAAUGAAAGGAAGGACUUACUCCUUCCCUGUGUGGUUCAUCCUCUCACAGGGGGACUGUCUUUGUUUACACCUACAUCAGUCAUGUUGAGAGCCUUCACAAAAAUAACACCUUCUAGAGACCCCCAAUUUUUGGACAGCUGCAGACACAGGUUCCUCUGAAGAAUCAACAGUCCCAGAAAUAAAUGCUGCAUAGUUUACUAGAGAUGAUCCUUGUACAUAGGACUCAGAAUUCCUCUGAGAGAGAUCCAGUGCCCUAGCUUGGUCAAAGGCUGUCUGUAGAUCCAGACUCUUAUUUUCUAGGAGGUGCUAAUGAAUCAGUGGUGUCAUGAGUCAUUGAUGAAAGUCUCUUAUAUAGUCAUCCUAGUUCUGUUCUGCUCUAACAGCCUUGAAGUUGUACUCCUUACGGAGCUGGUGAAGUUCCUGUGCGUAUUCAUCCAAUGUUUCAUCUUGAAGUUGUACUCCUUACUGAGAUGGUGUUUCACCCUGACGUUGUCUUCUUGUGCCCAGAAGAUGUCGAGCAAAGAAUUCAUUCCUGGGCUUCACGUAGAGAUCCUGAAUAAUCUAUAUUGCAGCCUCAUAAGUGUCAUUAUCGGCUAUAUAUGUGUAUACACUAGGAGACACAAAGUUGAUGAGGGUGUUCAAUAUGUCAGGUGUGUGGAAUGCAAUGGACUAAAGGAAGCUAUAGAAUGUGUGGUACCAGUGGCACCACUUCCUAGCUGCUUCUGGUGAGUUUAGACUAGAAUCCAAUCUCUGGCUGCAGACACUUCUCCGUGGUGACUCAUGACAGUUAAGAUGAAUAAAUUGCAAUGAAACAGA